rnacentral:rRNA from 1 species
CCUAGGGCGGCAGCAGUGGGGAAUAUUGGACAAUGGGCGAAAGCCUGAUCCAGCCAUGCCGCGUGUGUGAAGAAGGCCUUCGGGUUGUAAAGCACUUUCAGUGGGGAAGAAAGCCUUGGGGCUAAUACCCUCGAGGAAGGACAUCACCCACAGAAGAAGCACCGGCUAACUCCGUGCCAGCAGCCGCGGUAAUACGGAGGGUGCGAGCGUUAAUCGGAAUUACUGGGCGUAAAGCGCGCGUAGGCGGUCUGAUAAGCCGGUUGUGAAAGCCCCGGGCUCAACCUGGGAACGGCAUCCGGAACUGUCAGGCUAGAGUGCAGGAGAGGAAGGUAGAAUUCCCGGUGUAGCGGUGAAAUGCGUAGAGAUCGGGAGGAAUACCAGUGGCGAAGGCGGCCUUCUGGACUGACACUGACGCUGAGGUGCGAAAGCGUGGGUAGCAAACAGGAUUAGAUACCCCAGUCGUC